UACAGAGGUGCCGAGCGUUAGGCGGAAUCACUUGGGGUACGUUAAAGCGCGUGUAGGCGGGUCGUUAAGUGUCCGACGUGAAAGUCCCACCGGCUCAACCGUGGAAACUGCCGGGCAUACUGGCGACCUUGAGGCACUUAGGGGCGAGCGGAACAAAUGGUGGAGCGGUGAAAUGACGUAGAUAUCAUUUGGAACGCCGACGGUGAAAACAGCUCGCUGGGAGUGUCCUGACGCUGAGACGACGAAAGCCAGGGGAGGCGAACGGG
rnacentral:rRNA from 1 species